rnacentral:misc_RNA from 1 species
AAAGUCGUAACAAGGUUUCCGUAGGUGAACCUGCGGAAGGAUCAUUACAGAGAACAUUGCCCUCACGGGUGACUCUCCAACCCAAUGUUAUUCUACCUUUGUUGCUUUGGCGAGCCGCCUCGGCCACCGGCUCACGCUGGCGAGUGCUCGCCAGAGGACCCAAAACUCUGAAUUAAAGUAUUGUCUGAGCACUAUAUAAUAGUUAAAACUUUCAACAACGGAUCUCUUGGUUCUG